UUUUUUUUUUGAAAGAUAUUUACCUUUAUCUUUUACUGAGGCUUAAAUUAAGAUUUGAAAAAAUAAAAUUAAAAAAAAAUGAAAAUGGCGUUUUUGGAAUAAAUGAGAAUAGAAAGGGUAAAUUUUGACCUAAAAAGCAAAAAAAUAAUGAAAAUAUUUCCGUCGAAUGAGAUCUUAGCAUUACAGCCAAAACCACCCUUUCUUCUCCUUCUUCUUCCCCUUUUCCCCUCCAUUUCCUCUGCAACUAGAGAGAGAAACCCAAUUAUUUUUUUAUUUUAGAGAGAGAAAAUCAACCCUCCAUUAUCAUUAAUCUAAUGUUUUCAUUAUUACCUACUCUCUUAAUCCCUGCUUUUCUUUGCAAUUAACAAACACCCCCACCAUCCCACCCAAAAGGGUAAUUUUAAUUAAAAUUCAAAUUCAACACAAUUUUUUUUUAUGUAUUUAUAUUUUUUUCAAAAAAAAAUCCACAUUGCUAACACCAUAAGCACCUUCAAACUUGAGCAAUUUGCAUAAAAAAUUACACCCAUUCCCCUUUCUUUUUCUGGGAAACCUAGAGUUUUGAUUUUGAGGGUGUUUAUUUGGUGGGUUUUUUUGUGAAACGUUUCGAAACGGAGAAUAGAGAGAAAGAUCAAUGGAACCGGCUGUAUUGGACGAUAUAAUAAACAGGCUAUUGGAUUUUCGAAACGCGAGGCCAGGUGCUGCGAGACAGGUUCAGCUUUCUGAGUCAGAGAUCCGCCUACUUUGCACCGCUGCUAAGGAAAUCUUCUUGCAACAACCUAACCUUUUGGAGCUUGAAGCCCCCAUCAAGAUCUGCGGUGAUAUCCAUGGGCAAUAUGGUGACCUCUUGAGACUUUUUGAAUACGGUGGUUUUCCUCCCGAAGCCAACUACUUGUUUCUAGGGGACUAUGUUGACCGGGGAAAGCAGAGUUUAGAAACAAUUUGCCUUUUGCUUUCUUACAAAAUUAAAUAUCCAGAAAAUUUCUUCCUUUUACGGGGGAACCAUGAAUGCGCAUCCAUUAACAGGAUCUAUGGAUUUUAUGAUGAAUGUAAACGCCGCUUUAAUGUUAGACUUUGGAAGACAUUUACUGAUUGUUUUAAUUGUCUCCCUGUUGCUGCUGUUAUAGAUGACAAAAUUUUGUGCAUGCAUGGUGGUCUCUCACCUGAUUUGACUAACGUGGAUCAAAUUAAGAGUUUAUCUCGUCCGACUGAUGUACCUGAAUCUGGUUUACUAUGCGAUUUAUUGUGGUCAGACCCUUCUAGAGAGGUUAAAGGUUGGGGAAUGAAUGAUCGGGGAGUCUCUUACACAUUUGGUGCCGAUAAAGUGGCCGAAUUCUUAAUGAAGAAUGACAUGGACCUAAUUUGUCGUGCACAUCAGGUUGUGGAAGAUGGAUAUGAAUUUUUUGCUGAUAGACAGCUUGUUACGAUUUUCUCUGCUCCCAAUUAUUGUGGUGAAUUUGAUAAUGCUGGUGCAAUGAUGAGUGUUGAUGAGAGCUUGAUGUGCUCGUUUCAAAUCUUGAAGCCGUCAGAGAGAAGAAGAUUUCUUUGAUCAAGGAUUUGAUGAUGUAGUCAUCAUUCUUUGCUCAGUUAAUUAUACAGCCAUACAGGUAGUUGGGAUUUUAGGUGGAACAUAACUGGUAACAUGAUACCUUUUAUUCGUGCAGUUUUUAUUUCGGAAGACUAAUUAAGUUUAGGUCUCACAGUUGUUGUCUUCAAGGCUGAGAGAUGGUAUCGUCCUGCUUAAUCGUUGAAGACAAGAAUUUUUAAUGUACUUCGAAAGUAUUGUGAUUGAACAUGGAAUUUCGAAGCAACAGACAGAUUAGUGGGCUGUCAGAAUUGUCCCUAUUUCUGUAUUUUCUAUAUUUUUUUUCCUUAAUUUUUUGUAUUUUAUUUUAAUUUUUGGGGGGAAAGGAAUUCUCAUUAGAAAAUCAUGGUGCUGGUGUAUAUACAUUUGGUCUUGUAAAUGACCAUUCACUCUGUACAUUGUUGACACCAAUCUUUGUUUGAACCAUUGUACUGAUCUUACUAUCUGCUAGUUAUGUUUCAAGUAGUCUAGUUACUAUUUGAAGGUUUCAUCUUGCAUUUCUAAAUUCAA